UACGUAGGGGGCGAGCGUUGUCCGGAUUUACUGGGCGUAAAGCGUCCGUAGGCGGCCGGCUGCGUCGGGUGUGAAAGCCCCCCGCUACAACGGGGGAGAGGUCAUCCGAUACGGGCUGGCUGGAGGGCAGUAGAGGGGGACGGGAAUUCCCGGAGUAGUGGUGAUAUGCGUAGAGACCGGGAGGAACACCGGUGGCGAAGGCGGUCCCCUGGGCUGGUCCCCUGACGCUGGACUGGACGAAAGCGUGGGGAGCGAACCGG
rnacentral:rRNA from 1 species